CUAAAAUGAUGUAAAACUUUUAUCCGAAUAACCAUGUGGUUACAAAAUAUACGAGCUUUUUAACACUGAUUAGU